AUUGAACGCUGGCGGCAUGCUUUACACAUGCAAGUCGAACGGCAGCGCGGGCUUCGGCCUGGCGGCGAGUGGCGAACGGGUGUGUAAUACAUCUGAACGUGCCCAGUAGUGGGGGAUAGCUCGGCGAAAGCCGGAUUAAUACCGCAUACGACCUGAGGGUGAAAGCGGGGGAUCUUCGGACCUCGCGCUAUUUUAGCGGCCGAUGGCAGAUUAGCUAGUUGGUGGGGUAAAGGCCUACCAAGGCGACGAUCUGUAGCUGGUCUGAGAGGACGACCAGACAAACUGGAACUGAGACACGGCCCAGACUACUACGGGAGGCAGCAGAGGGGAAUUGUGGACAAUGGGCGAAAGCCUGAUCCAGCAAGGCCGCGUGUGUGAUGAAGGCCUUCGGGUUGUAAAGCACUUUUGGCGGGAACGAAAAGGACUGUGCCAAUACCACGGUUCGAUGACGGUACCCGCAGAAUAAGCACCGGCUAACUACGUG
rnacentral:rRNA from 1 species